rnacentral:rRNA from 1 species
GUGUCAGCAGCCGCGGUAAGACGAACCGUGCGAACGUUGUUCGGAAUCACUGGGCUUAAAGGGCGCGUAGGCGGCUUGCCAAGUCAGGGGUGAAAUCCUGCAGCUCAACUGUAGAAGUGCCUUUGAUACUGGCGAGCUCGAGGGAGGUAGGGGUGGGUGGAACUUCUGGUGGAGCGGUGAAAUGCGUUGAUAUCAGAAGGAACGCCGGUGGCGAAAGCGACCCACUGGAUCUCUACUGACGCUGAGGCGCGAAAGCUAGGGGAGCAAACGGGAUUAGAAACCCCCGUAGUCC